CCCCAUGCUGUUGCUAGGAGAUCGGAGGGCUAUACUUCCAUCAUCUCCAUACUUGCUGGGAGAUUGAGUAAUUGGUGUCUGGAUGUGCGUGUGCUGCUUCCCAAAAUAUCUCUUUAAAAAGACGUGAGAGGGAUGCGGAGCCAGUAGAAAAAUAAGACUGUGAAGGGAAUCCUCACUUCAAAUUGGAGAAGGAAGCUUUGAGAUUUCCAGGGAAGACAGAAGACAGAAGAGAAAUGACUGAUUCUGAAGAUUGAGUAUGAGAAGUAUCGUACAGAUGCUGUCAUUCCUACAUGGAGGAGGCAGAAGAAUGUAGCAAGCCCAGCUCUCUAAUGCCAGGAGUGUGGUUUUCAGUGGCCAGAGCUCUCUGGGUCCUCUGUGUAUCCCUCCCUUGUCACUUGAUUUCAAUAGAGGCUGGGCUGGUCCUGGCAUUAGCAUGUCCCUGAAUCCGCCUUUGGGUGUUACUUCUAUGCAAAGACAGGAAGGGGAAGUUUCUGGUUUAUAUAGCCAACACGUAAUCUUGGUAAUAAAUCGUUGCUUGUUUGGAAGAA